rnacentral:misc_RNA from 1 species
GCUCCGUUGGUGAACCAGCGGAGGGAUCAUUACCGAUUUUUGUUACUCCCAAACCCCUGUGAACUUAUACCUUUACUGUUGCUUCGGCGGGUUAACGCCCCGGAAGGCCCAAAAAGCCGCCGGAACCAGGGGCCCGCCGGGGGACCCAAACUCAUGUAUUUCUUACUUUGCAUGUCUGAGUGUAAUCAUAAACAAAUGAAUUAAAACUUUCAACAACGGAUCUCUUGGUUCUG